rnacentral:tRNA from 1 species
UCCCUGGUGGCUCAGAGGUUAAAAAGUGUCUGCCUUCAAUGCAGGAGUCCUGGGUUCGAUCCCUGGGUCGGGAA